GCUAUCAACAUGUAUUCCAUCAAUCUCUGUUCAGAAUUCCCUUUCGGGUUCGAGAACUGAGAUACCCGCGUCAAGAUCUCACUCGCAACACCAGUUUUGCCUUCGUAAAUGGCGGAAGCAGCAUCAAGUAGCGUUUGUUUUGAGCAAUUGUGGACUGGAGUGGUCACCGAUGUUGAGGAGGAACAAGGAGAUGAGGACGAUGAAGUAGGCGAUGGAGAAAUCAGGUUGGCACUUGAAGAAGUGAUGAGAUUCUGUAUAGUUUCUGACCA
rnacentral:misc_RNA from 1 species